rnacentral:ncRNA from 2 species
AAAGGGUCAUAUGACUGACGGAUGUGGAUAACCACAAGGGAGUAUGACAGAAAGAGCCGACCGUCUGGGCAAGUAGU